CCCCUCUCAGGAUUGCAUCUGGAGACUUUCUAGUACUCUACCAGUCUUGGCUACGGGAGGGAGAGUCAAGCAGAGGCAAACCCAUUUCAUUCCUAGCUUGGGCAGUGGCCAGGGAAUGAAAGGCAACCUGCUACAAGU